CAGUCGCCGCGGUAAAACGUAGGUGGCAAGCGUUGUCCGGAAUUAUUGGGCGUAAAGGGCUCGCAGGCGGUUUCUUAAGUCUGAUGUGAAAGCCCCCGGCUCAACCGGGGAGGGUCAUUGGAAACUGGGAAACUUGAGUGCAGAAGAGGAGAGUGGAAUUCCACGUGUAGCGGUGAAAUGCGUAGAGAUGUGGAGGAACACCAGUGGCGAAGGCGGCUCUCUGGUCUGUAGCUGACGCUGAGGAGCGAAAGCGUGGGGAGCGAACAGGAUUAGAUACCCCAGUAGUCCCUGUCUCUUAUAC
rnacentral:rRNA from 1 species